UACAGGGGGUGCAAACGUUGCUCGGAAUUAUUGGGCGUAAAGAGCUCGUAGGCGGUGUGUCACGUCGGCCGUGAAAACCUGCAGCUUAACUGUGGGCGUGCGGUCGAUACGGGCAUCACUGGAGUUCGGCAGGGGAGACUGGAAUUCCUGGUGUAGCGGUGAAAUGCGCAGAUAUCAGGAGGAACACCAAUUGCGAAGGCAGCUCGCUGGGACGUUACUGACGCUGAGACGCGAAAGCGUGGGGAGCGAACAGG
rnacentral:rRNA from 1 species